rnacentral:rRNA from 1 species
GAUGAACGCUAGCUACAGGCUUAAUACAUGCAAGUCGAGGGGUAGCAGGGUAGCAAUACCGCUGACGACCGGCGCACGGGUGAGUAACACGUAUCCAACCUUCCCAUAACUCGGGGAUAGCCUUUCGAAAGAAAGAUUAAUACCCGAUAGUACUUAACAAAGGCAUCUUUGAUAAGUUAAAGAUUUAUUGGUUAUGGAUGGGGAUGCGUUCCAUUAGAUAGUUGGUGAGGUAACGGCUCACAAAGUCUUCGAUGGAUAGAGGUUCUGAGAGGAAGGUCCCCCACAUUGGUACUGAGACACGGACCAAACUCCUACGGGAGGCAGCAGUGAGGAAUAUUGGUCAAUGGGCGAGAGCCUGAACCAGCCAAGUAGCGUGAAGGAUGAAGGCCCUAUGGAUUGUAAACUUCUUUUAUAGUAGAAUAAAGUGAUCCACGUGUGGAUUUUUGUAUGUAUACUAUGAAUAAGGAUCGGCUAACUCCGUGCCAGCCGCCGCCGUAA